GACGAACGCUGGCGGCGUGCUUAACACAUGCAAGUCGAACGGAAAGGCCCUGCUUUUGUGGGGUGCUCGAGUGGCGAACGGGUGAGUAACACGUGAGUAACCUGCCCUUGACUUUGGGGUAACUUCAGGAAACUGGGGCUAAUACCGGAUAGGAGCUCCUGCUGCAUGGGGGGGGUUGGAAAGUUUCGGCGGUUGGGGGUGGACUCGCGGCUUAUCAGCUUGUUGGUGGGGUAGUGGCUUACCAAGGCUUUGACGGGUAGCCGGCCUGAGAGGGUGACCGGCCACAUUGGGACUGAGAUACGGCCCAGACUCCUACGGGAGGCAGCAGUGGGGAAUAUUGCACAAUGGGCGGAAGCCUGAUGCAGCAACGCCGCGUGCGGGAUGACGGCCUUCGGGUUGUAAACCGCUUUCGCCUGUGACGAAGCGUGAGUGACGGUAAUGGGUAAAGAAGCACCGGCUAACUACGUG
rnacentral:rRNA from 1 species